AUGGCGACCACCAUCUCCUCUCUAGCGGCCCCACCCGCCCUCCACCGCCGAUGCUGCCGGAGCCCCGCAUCUGCCUCGACCCCCGCCCGCGUGUCAUUCCGCGCCGUGCUGCCGGCCGGCGCGGCGGCGCGGGCGAGGCGCCGGGCGGCGGUGAAGGUGCUCGCCUCCUCCGCGGUGAUGGAGGCGCCCGAGGAGCUGGCCACGCGGAAGCUCUACGUGGGGAACAUCCCCAGGACCGUCACCAACGACGAGCUGUCGGCCAUGUUCGCCGCACACGGCACCGUCGUGCGGGCCGAGGUCAUGUAUGACAAGUAUAGUGGUCGGAGCCGGCGAUUCGGGUUUGUCACGAUGAGCACGGCGGAGGAGGUCGCUGCCGCCAUUGAGAGCCUGAAUGACACCGAGGUUGGAGGUAGAAAAAUUAAAGUAAAUGUGACAGAGAGCUUCUUACCAAACAUUGAUACAUCUGCACCGGAAUCGGAACCUUCAUUUGUGGACAGCCAGUACAAGGUUUACGUUGGGAACCUCGCAAAGAAAGUGACAACGGAAGUGCUCAAGAACUUCUUCUCUGAAAAAGGGGAGGUCCUCAGUGCCACGGUAUCCCGAAUUCCAGGAACUCCAAAGUCCAAGGGAUAUGGUUUUGUCACGUUUUCUUCAGAGGAAGAAGUGGAAGCUGCGGUUUCUACUUUCAACAAUACAGAAUUGGAAGGACAAACCAUCCGUGUGAAUAGAGCAUAG
rnacentral:rRNA from 1 species